rnacentral:rRNA from 1 species
GAUGAACGCUAGCUACAGGCUUAACACAUGCAAGUCGAGGGGCAGCAUGAACUUAGCUUGCUAAGUUUGAUGGCGACCGGCGCACGGGUGCGUAACGCGUAUCCAACCUUCCCGUUACUCAGGUAUAGCCUUGCGAAAGUAAGAUUAAUCCCUGAUGACAUAUGUUUGCUGCAUGGUGAACAUAUUAAAGAUUUAUCGGUAACGGAUGGGGAUGCGUUCCAUUAGGUAGUUGGUGAGGUAACGGCUCACCAAGCCUGCGAUGGAUAGGGGUUCUGAGAGGAAGGUCCCCCACACUGGAACUGAGACACGGUCCAGACUCCUACGGGAGGCAGCAGUGAAGAAUAUUGGUCAAUGGUCGGAAGACUGAACCAGCCAAGUAGCGUGAGGGAUGACUGCCCUAUGGGUUGUAAACCUCUUUUAUAUGGGAAUAAAAAAGAUUACGUGUAGUCUAUUGUAUGUACCUUAUGAAUAAGCAUCGGCUAAUUCCGUGCCAGCAGCCGCAGUAAAAC